GAGUUUUUUUUUUCCAUGAAAUCUUGAUCAUGAGUCGACGAGUGAUGAUUCCUAAAAAUAUUUUAUACGACAAAAGCCUCUGUUAUUAAGAAUAUGUAAUUAUUAUUUCUUAACAUUGUGAAGUGUGUAUUAAUUUGACGCUAGUGAUUUUGUUAGAAUGUAUUGUCCUCUUUAGCUAUAGUUGCAUCAUGUGUGGAGCCCUUAAGUACGUUUGACUAUAGCAACACAAUGCUGUAUUACACUCUAUGAAGGUUGUGUCUGAUUCCCUCUCUUCUUUACUGUCAGCCAUAGUGACAACAUGUCCUUAUAUUUUAUAUUUUAAUUCUUUGACAAAUGUAAUACCUAUGUACUCUUUAUUCUGAGUAGUAAAAAGUGUGCUUCAAGAUCGUCUAUGUGAGUUAUAAUUUCAUCGGCCUUCAGCCGGCCCCUCGCUCUCCCAACUCAAGUGUCACGCGGUACAGAUGCACUGCUUAGACCUCCAACAGAUUUCUUAAAAAAGGCAACACAUAUUUAAAUAAGGGACGAGUAUGAGCGGCAAGCCGCCGAGCACGCUCUGUACAAGGAACACUGCUGGGUCGAGGGGUGGAUGGCGCACUGUCCUCUUUCCUGGUGCCACGGAGAAUCGGCUGAGCAAAGCCGCCAGACCAGCCAGAGAUUGCAUGAUUCCGAGACGCUCUCCUGUGAAUUGCAAGUGGAAUCAGGUUGGACCCUGCUCACGCCUUACGGUAACUCCAUUCCGGGUUUUAUUUUGGAGUAUCCUUCUCCUAGAUGGAUUGCAAGCCAAUGCAGAGGUCCAUUUCCCUUGUGACGAAACAGCUUUUUGCUUCGUUUGUGGACUUAGUCGCCUCGUACGACACCCUUAUCCUAUCCUAUCCCGGGUUGGCGUUAUUCUAAAACCACCAAACGGCGAAAGGUACGUUAGUAGAGUAGUACUCUUUAUGGAAAAGCAUACUAGAAGAUAGUGACAUUGAAUCGUUGCUUAUAUGCUCUAUCUACGGGGUGAUUUGGUGUUCUUGUCUGCGUAGCCUUCAAUCGACCUUGCACUAUUUACCUCCUCGUUUACUAUUGAACACAUACGUUACAAACCGGAAGUUACCAGUAUUUGAUUACUCCCGUUUUGUCUUGUACAGAAUAAGUUGCAACAAUAGACGACCCGUCUGGCCUUGUGGGAAGUGACCCUGCCUAUGACGCCGAUGGUCCCGGGUUCAAAUCCUGGUAAGGGCAUUUAUUCGUGUGAUGAGCAUGGAUAUUUGUUCCUGAGUCAUGGGUGUUUUCUAUGUAUUUAAGUAUUUAUAAAUAUUUAUAUAUUAUAUAUAUCGUUGUCUAAGUACCCUCAACACAAGCCUUAUUGAGCUUACUGUGGGACGUUAUAAAUAUUAUAGGGACAUUCUUACACAAAUUGACGAAGUCCCACGGUAAGCCAAGAAGGCUUGUGUUGUGGGUACUCAGACAACGAUAUAUGUAAUAUACAAAUACUUAAAUACAUAGAAAACAUCCAGGAUUCAGGAAUAAAUAUUUGUCUUCAUCACAACUCACACACUCACACAAAUAAAUGCCCUUACCGGGAUUCGAACCCAGGACCAUCGGCUUCAUAGGCGGGGUCACUACCCACUACGCCAGACCGGUCGACAAUGUACUAUUGUGUCCAUAAUUUGAUAUAUAUUAUAAACUAUUUCUAUUUCGCAAUACUGGCGGUCCGUAAAAUGACUAUAAAAUUGUCGAUCGGAAUACCUACGCGGCCAGCCAAGCGAGUGCUGCUCGCGAGACGGUAACAAAUUGAGCACAUUACUGUGAACAUCUAAGGGCGUUACUGGAUAACUUAUUAAGAUAGUUUGUUGACGUGAAAAUGAUGUGGUACAUACAAGAAAAGGGAUUUUUAUUUAUUAAUAAGGGUAUUUUGUUUUAUUUAGCAUGUAUUUGCGUAAUGUAAUUUAAGCUCAAAAAAUAACGUAAUCUCUUGGAAUCAUAUUGGAAUUUUGUUGCUUGUCUUCGGGUAUUGCGAUAGGUGUUCAUGAAAUAAAACAAUUUAAACGGAUUAAUAUAUUAUCAUAGUAUGAUAAAUAAAUAAGAGAUACUCUGUUUUAAGUACCUAUUCAGUUCAAUGUUUUUGUACUUUAAAUGGCAAAAUAUUGUGAAACUGAUUAGGCAUUAUCUGCCACUGUACUUACAAAUAAAAUAUUGAGGUAGUUAUUUAUAAUUGUAUAAUCCCACGAAUAUGUAGCUACGCGAAUGUUCAAGGUCAUUUACUGUGCGUCAAAAAGCCAACUUAUUCUUCUUCCUCGCGUUGUCCCGGCAUUUUGCCACGGCUCAUGGGAGCCUGGGUCCGCUUGGCAACAAAUACCAAGAAUUCGUGAAAAAGCUAACUUGGAAAAUAAAAGUAGUUGCUGGUUUGCCCUGCCCAAGUGUAUUCGCAUGUCUAUAUGAUUGUGAGUAACUUUAAUAAUGAUAAGCAUAAUAAUUGGCGUACUCCACUGCUAGGGCCGUGGAUAACAACGCCCAUAUCGUUUUCGGAAUUAAAAAAAUAACUUCGUUUUCCUAUCGGGAGAGCCUAGGGCUGGCUCAUUCCUAGGACAACAGAUAGGCAUCACCAUUCAGCGGGGGAAUGUAGCUAGCCUCAUGGGCUCCCGUAAGGGACAAUCCCGCAGGACUUUUCGUAGGUGGACAUUUUUCCUUUAUUUUGGUAUAUUUAAUUUAGUUAGUCUAUAUUUUAUAGUAUUGUAUUUUGUAUACGUGCUUAAAACGAGUUAUUUAAGUCCAAUUGUUUUUCUUACAAGUUCGCAUAAAACACAAGCCCAGUAAAUAUACUGUUUUGUGAAAUGACACCCUCUCGAUAUUAUUUGAAUAACAAGAGACUGAAGAGACCUUUGGGAAAACAAUAGGAAAAAGAUGAAUGCGGCCAUUCUUAUUGGUUUCUUAAUCUCGAAUUUCCUUUCAGGGGCUUUUCGGUUCUAAAUGAUUCGGCCCUUUUGGGCUUUUGAUUCGUAUUUAUAGAGAAACAAUAUAACAUAAAAAUAAGAGGGUAAAUAUCAAAAGCCGUGGCUUUUGAUGUUGUAAAAUUGAUAUGUCAAAAUGCUUUCAAGUCUUCAACAAAAUUUGCUUAAAGUAAUACUUAGAAUGAUCUGUACAGGAACUCUCCUCUGUCUCACCACCACUACACAUCAUCAUCAUCUUCCUAACGUAGGCCCAGCUUUGGGCUAUGGUUCACGGGAGCCAGCACGGCUUCUUGUUUUUACAAACGCGACUGCCACCUAACCCAAUCCAUAGGAGAACAGUGACAAGGCCUUAUUGGGAUUAGUCCGGUUUUCUUACGAUAUUUUCCUUCACCGAAAAGCGACUGGUGAAAAUCAAUUGAUAGAUUGUAGGUUUAAUCCUUCGGAUGUAACUAUGCGGCAAGAACGUUGGAAGUGUUGGUACCCUUUUUCCCACCAUCAAUACACAUAACAACCGUAACUAAUAAGAUAUCUAAGCUCUGUUAACAUAUAUUGAGUAAAGUUAAAUGAUUUAACCCUUAGUAUCAGUAAAAUACAUCAUUUUUUAUUUACAAGUACAAGCUUUCCUUUAACUUAGCCUGUUAGUUUGUAUGUUAGUUAUAGUGUGGGUCAAAUCUUGGAAACUAAAUUUGACCCACUUCUCAAUUCAGCUGAAAUUUUGCAUACCUACACAUGUAAAUCGGAUAACAAUGCAAUAACAAUAUUAUGAUGACAGGGAGCUGAUCUGAUGAUGGAGAAGGGAGGUGGCCAUGGGAACUCUGUGAUAAAGCAACGCAAACUAAUUAUAUUUGGGGUUGAUAUAAUUGUCCGGAUGAGUAUUAACUGCUUAAGAAACAGUCAGUCAGCGAUAAAAACUUGCACCAACAAUUACAUUUUUGCCAAAAACUUUUGUAAGUAUUUAAGUAGUCAGUUCAAACCGUAAAGGCCAAGGCCGUAAAGUACUCAGAUUGAUAAAAAUAUCAAAACCUAUUGCAGAUGGUUUUGAACACUUUGUUCACUUAGCAACUAUUACAGCUUAACACUUUAAAACGACGCCAAUAUCGCCAUUCCUAACAAGUCUUCAGGUUACAAUAAUUGUCUCAAUAGAUACAUGACACCCAUAUCGGGCGUGGCAAUGACAUAUUUUCCUUAUAAAUAAGUACAUUUUUAUCCUUAUUUUUUUUAGGUUUUUCUAGAAUAAAAAUUAAUAAAAUUGUAUUCAUUUGUCUUGUAGGAACUCUUCAACUGUAUAACAAAUAACUCUCUUAGGAACUUUUUACUAAAGGCCGGCGACUUUCGUUAGGAUUUAGACCAAUUAAAUUAAAUUACGAGAUUUAACGCUGGAAGCUCUUAAUUACUUAAUACAAGAACGAAAGAAGAUGGGAAAUACGACAUUGAUUGCCUCUUUUUUAAUUGUCAUCAUUUAUUGCUCUUUUUACAGGCCAAUUCGAAAUACAUUUACAUUACAUUUAACUGAUGUCAUUCAGUUAUCGUGCAUUUCACUCGUACCUACUUGUCCGUACAUGCAUUGGCGCGAGUGAGACGCACGAUAACUAAAUUAUAUAAUUCAAAUAUCAUUCUGAUAUCAGUGUGCGUUCGAAUAUGCCUAUAAUUAUAUUUUUCCUCAUUGUAUUUUAGUCCGGGUUUUAUCAUUUUGAUUGGAUACACAAUUUCGUAUUUUUCUGGCCUUGUUUCUUCUUUUGCGAAUUGUCCACGAAUAUUGUGUUAUUUGCAUUAAUGUCUUCAGAAUUUUUAUUAACAGAUUUUAACUUCUAAUUUCACGUUCAUCAAAGCUAAGUGAAAAUGUGUCUAACCAAGGAUAAAGUUUAAUUCUUUUUAGGUGGAUUUUAAAGGCACGGACUGAAAGACCAAGGAUAAGGUUUCAUUAUUAGGUUUUGGUAUAUUUUUUAAGAAUCGGACCGAAAGAUAUCGAUUUAUACCUGAUUCCUGGACCUCUCAAAUACGUGUGACGCAAGGUCUGAAAUAAAAACAAUUGAAUGGAAUCGAAUAGCGUUUCCUAAUGCCUAGAUUAGCUUAACUAAGUACGAGUAUAUACAAUUUCGACAUUCUAACAUUUCAAUAACUUUAAUUGUUUCAGCAUUGACCUACAAAAUUGCAGAAAAGAAGUUGUUGUGACGUCAACGUAAAAUGCCCAUUCAGAACCUCUCUCAAGAAACUCGGCGCGCAGCGGCUGACAUCAAAAGACUAAAAUAGAAUGGAAAAUAACAUUACGCUCACAAGGAAAAGUGUGGGCUGACCGUGGACAGGUUAAUUAAUUUUAUUCUAUUUGGUUUCUAAUUGUUGUACUUUGUUUGAAAUGUUAAUGUCUACCUAUGUCAAAAGUCAAGAUUCACGCUGGCGUAAUUAAAUUACGUUUAUUACACAAAUUAAAUGGCAUAAAGUCUAUAGAAGGGCAAUGAUUUCAGUGUGUA